GUCCAGUAGAGAAAACCCAGACAUCCGGCAUCCAGGAGGCAUCCURAUCAGAUGAACCACCUCAACUGACUCGACUCAACUCUGAGAUCCUCCCUGAUUACGGAGCUCCUCACCUUAUCUCUACGGCUGAGCCCAGCCAACUACGAAGGAAGCUCAUUUCAGCAGCUUGUAUCCAGGAUCUGGUUCUUUGGGUCAUGGUCCACACCUCAUGACCACAGCUGAGAAGCACGUGAAGCACAAAGCCAGUUAGGAGCCGUCCAACUUCUGUGAGGACAUGAAGGCAGAGCUGAAGACUGGCAUGAGGGAGUCAAGUUGCCUCAUUACAACUGACAACCCUGAGAACUGAAAAGACCUUGAAUGGCUGACAUGAAUGUGUCAUAAUACAAGUUUGUUCUUGCUGUAGAUGUUAAAAAUAUUUGAAAAGCUAAAAUGCUCUUUCUGUUUUAAUUUUUACAUCUUUAAAUUGGAAUGGACAAUUAAAAACUCUUCUUUUCACAUUUUA